AGUGAACGCUGGCGGUAGGCCUAACACAUGCAAGUCGAACGGCAGCACAGUAAGAGCUUGCUCUUACGGGUGGCGAGUGGCGGACGGGUGAGGAAUACAUCGGAAUCUACUUUUUCGUGGGGGAUAACGUAGGGAAACUUACGCUAAUACCGCAUACGACCUACGGGUGAAAGCAGGGGAUCUUCGGACCUUGCGCGAUUGAAUGAGCCGAUGUCGGAUUAGCUAGUUGGCGGGGUAAAGGCCCACCAAGGCGACGAUCCGUAGCUGGUCUGAGAGGAUGAACAGCCACACUGGAACUGAGACACGGUCCAGACUCCUACGGGAGGCAGCAGUGGGGAAUAUUUGACAAUGGGCGCAAGCCUGAUCCAGCCAUACCGCGUGGGUGAAGAAGGCCUUCGGGUUGUAAAGCCCUUUUGUUUGGGAAGAAAAGCAGCAGGUUAAUACCCCGCUGUUCUGACGGUACCCAAAGAAUAAGCACCGGCUAACUUCGUG
rnacentral:rRNA from 1 species